rnacentral:ncRNA from 1 species
GAGGGUGGGCCCCUCGAUGUCGUCUUUCGGGAGAAGGCAUCAAACCACUUCAAGCUGCUGCGUUUAAGAGGCGUGGUGGUUAGCGUUGAAGGAAAAGGCGCAGUGAAUGCGUCAGGU